GGUUAGCUAGGCAAAAACAAGUCUAAGACCAAACAGUGUCUGUUACAACAAAACUUAACUAGCAUAAAAACUUCUUUCUGCUUCCUCUGUCAACAGUUAGCCUCCAAAGUACAUAAGUGAACUAACAACAACUUGCUAUCUUAAAUUACUGUUACAGAGCUAAUGUUGUUAGUACAUAAAAUCUAGUUCAUCUUAAUUGCAGAAAUACAGAUUAAUGCCAAUGAGUCCACUGGAAGUUGAGAAGGCAAAUAGGUAAAGUAAUAACCAGUACUAAAUUGGAGAGCAAGCAUGCCAGAACAGAGUCCCUGUUUCUGAUCUAUAUUCACAGGCAAGAGUACAAAUGGGGAUAAUCCGGCUGCAAUGUCUCAUCUCCUUCCCUCCUUUGUCUACUCAAUGACACACUUUAGUGGCAAUUGGGGAGAAUUAUGAUCAUCAGCAAGGAUGGAGGGAGCUACUCAAUGGCACAGUUUAGUGCCUAUUGGGGGAAGUUAAUAAUCAUCAGCAAGUAUGAACAGAGCUAUUUUUUUGGUCAACAUUGUAACAUUCUUUCAAUCAUCUACUCGGUGCCAACUCAGAUAACGCAUCAUAUGUUGCAAAAAGCAUUAAAGGAGCAUCACAUGUGCAAGAUAGCUAGUAACUGGAGAACACAGCACUGAAGAACACAACAGUCUGAAUUACUGAUUCACACCAAAAAUCACAUACAACAAUGUAAAAUAAAAAAGAGGUAAAUACACCAGAAGUCAUAGAACUUGCAUGUGACGGUCA